AGGCACAGUGGGUAGAAGGGAGUGGUUGUCGUCAAGGGUAGAGCUGACCACAGGGCCUCAGAGGUCAACCUAUAGGCUUAUGUCAGCGUCCCCUCGUCCUGUGACUCACUCUUGCUAUGGUUUCACAUGGAGCCAAUUUCUUGCUUGUAGGUCGAGUUCUUACUGUAGCCGCACCGGCUGGGCAUCAAUUGGCUCUCAGGUGAUCUGUUUUACUGAUCACACCCAUCAUCGUAGGGUCGAGGAAGGGCAGUUCUCCCUGACACGUUUAUUGAUGAGGUAGGCAUGACUGUAAGAACUGCGAACAAGUUCUCGGUCUCAAUUUUUUACAAAAUAACAUUAUACACUGAUAUUAAACACUUUCAACAUAUUAUAAUAUUCAUGACUAAUACAUGCGAUUAACUUGGCACUAUGACAAUAAGUUUUUACUACAAAAUUAAAGUAUUUACCUCGGUCACCAUCCUGCCCGUCUUUGUCUGAGCGCGACUUGGUCGUGAGUGAUGCCCACAGGGAACCAGCAGGUUAACCCCACACUACCAACAAGCAGUAAUAUAAAACUUAAACUCCUUUACUGGUUAAGAGUUGUGAGUGAGGGUCCAGGUGACAACCAUUUAGUUGCUUCAACAAUGUUACAUCACUCAACCUCCUCACACCAGUAUGGGUGAAGGAGAAAACAGCAGGGGAAGGGAGCAUUGCCCAAGGCAGCAGGUGGCAGUAUCAUGACCCACCACAAUGAAUUGGAGUUGGACGGCAAAAGGAGACCUGCUGUGCAUCCCUGUUCUGCUCACCUUUGCUUUGUUUACUCCCACAUUGUGAGGAGUGUCUCCUCUGCUCAGCUGUGGAACUGAGUGACUGGACAGUGAGCUUGUGGAGUUGCUGUGGUGUGCAAGAGAUAGCCAGCUACUGUGAUCAUGUUGUGCAGUGUAGUGAAUAAACCGUGUGUCUCAUGAAACCCAAUGUCUCUCUCUCCUGCCCCUGUGUUGCAUGUGACUGCCAUGACAGACCUUCUGCCAGGCUGGACAGCAUGCUUUCCUCAUGAGCAGGGUACAGGGACCUAGUGAAAUCCUUGCCCCUGGCUUCCGUAUAGCUUGAGAAAGUAGGUGUUGGCAAGUGUUUGCCUCCCCUCACCCCUGGUCUUCUGUGCUCUCGGCUGGGUUGGUGCAAUGUGUGGUCCAACCAGAAGCCAUGCAAAGUGAGGUGGCAAACUUGAGAGGCACUAUAUAUCCCUCCCUGUGUGUAUUUCUUUCCUUUCUUUUUUCUUUGUUCCUCCGUUCUUCCUUUCUUUGUCAAUAUCAAACCAUAUACAUAUAUUUAAAUUAAAACCAACAAUGGUGUCUGAGUGCAUCAGUUACUGCAUCUCCUUGCUGGCCAAGGCAACAGCUGUGAUGUGUUCAUUCCUAGUAUUGUCACUGGUGUUCUACACAUUGCAACAGUGUGCUAGAGUCUUUUAUCUCAAAAUCCUUUUGAUUACGGUUGAAGUGGAAUGGCUGGUGACUUUAACCUUGGUAUCACAACUGAGAUACAGUCACUCCCAGUAGCUUGUAAUUUCCGAAGACUAUUUACAAUAUAACAUGGCAGCACCUAUGUUUCUAAUAUGCAUCAUAACAAGUUACAAGAGCAGCCAUGUGAAUUAUGAGGGCUUUUAGGAGAUACAAGGUUUCCAGUAUGCACCCCAUGACUUUGAAUGUCUAUGUGUAGAGAUGUUGUGUGGUAGGAGAAACUACCUUAUAUCAGUUUGUUGAAAACCUGGAGGUAACAUGAAUAACUUUGUGAAUAAAUUACAGGAAGUGCUUGAGUAUAUUUACAAUCAAAAUUAGUGAUGUAUUCUCAUUCAGUGGUUAGAAAAUAAAUACGAUGAACAAGGCGAUAAUUUCAAAGUUCCUGAAUUUAUAACAUUAAUGUACAGCUUCUCUCUGUUCUUGCAACUAUGAAACCAAUCAGGGUGAUGAACAACUCUGCAUCCUUAAUUGAUCACAUAUGAUCAAAUCAAGCAGAAUUAAUGUCUCAAAUUACAUCAUACAUACUGACAUUUCGGAUAAUUUUCCAAUUGUUUCCCAAUUCCGCAACCACAGUAACCAGAUUCAGUUUGUAAAGACUAUUUGCAGGAUGAUUUUUAAUAUUGAGAAUGCUGAUAAAUUUAUUAGUGAUCUUUCACAGGUUAUAUGGGAUGAUGUACUUACUUGUACUAACCCUAAUACAGAAUAUGAAAUAUUUUUCUUUAAAUUUAAUUAACUAUUUCAGCAUAAUUUCCCACUAGGCUUGUAAGGCAUAGAAUUACAAAAAGAUCUCAGAACUGUCCUUAUUCAACUUUUAGUCUGUUAAAAUGUAUAAAAGAGAAACAAAGAUUAGCACAACUAGAUAAGAAAUGGCCAUUGUCAUUUAAGGACAUAUAAAUCAUAAAGAAGCAAUUAUAUCAAUAAUAACCAAGAAUGUGAUAAAAAUAUUUGUAAAACAGUUAUCAUUUAAUGGAUCAAUAUAACAAACCUAAUAAUACCCAUAUUAAUUCAAAACAUGUUUUUGGUACUGACGCUGCUAAUGCAUUUUAAUGAUCUCUUUCUUAACUCUGCUGAGGAGUGUUCAAAUAAUAAUGAUUUUAGUUUCAGAGAUUACCUCAUACAUUCUUCUAAUUUCUCACUAUAUUUCUAUCCAUGUGAUCAACUAGAAGUAAAAAAUUUACAUCAACUCUAAAAUCAAAUUCAGUAGGCUAUGAUGAUGUUCCAGCAUUUGUCUUAAAAGCAACCUCUAACUAUAUAUCACUUCCUUUAUCCAAUUUAAUAAAUCUGUCUUUCAGUUGUGGUAUUUUUCUAGGUAAACUGAAAAUAGCAAAGGCAAUUUCUGUUCCCAAAUCUGGUGGCAAAGAUGAAAUAAAGAAUUACAGAUUAAUCUCCAUUCUACCAUCAGUUAACAAAGUAUCUGAGAAGUAUAUUGCUUGAGUAAUUUUUUGGAAGAAGAAUCUACUAUAAAAUAUUAAUGACUGCCAAUAUGGUUUUUGGAAAAGCAGGUCAGCAUAUUUAUCAUGUUUGUGUCAAUAUGACAAAGAUUUGUGACAUAUUGUUUCAUAUUCACCAUGAACCUGCUACUCAAGUUAUGCUAAUUAUUUAUAAUACUCUUUGUUAUAAUAAGAUCAUGUAUUCCAUAUCUAUUUGGGGAUGUACAUGGUCAUUAUCUUCAGAGAGUUGUCAAGGCUGAAAAGCUAUUUUACAUGCUAUAACAUUCAAGAAAAGUACUUUAGGUACAGUACUUUACAUUGAUCACUGUUUAGUUCAAUAAAAAUUGGUAAAAUUUUUCAAAUACAGGUUCAUUUGAACAAUACUAGAAGAAAUCUAGUAAAUUUAGUAUGUCCAUUUUUCUUGCCCCCUUCUUCCUGCUACUAAUUCUAGACAGGGGUCUUAUCCAUCCUUGUAUGGAGUAUGCUUCAUGUUUUUUUUUUUUUUGAUGGGGGGAGGGGCUGUUCUACUCAUUCUGCUAUUUUAGACUGAGUGGAAUCAAAAGCUUUUCAUCUCAUCAAUUCCCUCCUCUAAUUGACCGUCUUCAGCCUCUUUCUCAUCACCACAAUGUUGCAUCUCUUGUCUUUUACCACUAUUUUCAUGCUAACUGCUCUUCUGAUCUUGCUAACUGCAUGCCUUCCCUCUUUCAGCAGUCUCACUGCAUAAGACUCUUCCUCCUCUCAUCCCUAUUCUGUUCACCUCUCUAAUGCAAGAGUUAACCAGUAUUCUCAAUUAUUCAUCCCUUUAUCUGGUAAAUUCUAGAACUCCCUGUCUGCUUCUGUAUUUUCUCCUUCCUAUGACUUGGACUCUUUCAGGAGGGAGGUUUCAAGACACUUAUCCACUGUUUUUUUUUUUUUUUAUCAUUGUAUCUGACAUUUGUGUGGGAACUGGCAAUAAAUGUUUUUUUUCUUUUUCAUAUUUUUUGUUGCCCUUGGCCAGUGGCUCUCUUACAUAAAAAAAAAAAAAAAAUGCAUGAAGUUAGGUUUUCAUUUCGUAACGUUCAUAAAAGGUUUUCAGCCCAUGUUGGAACUAGUGGAAAGAGUAUAAACCUUUCUUUUAAAUUAUAUAGGAUCACUUUUCUAUGUACACACAGUAUUUUGUUCACCACUACUACAUCCCACUCCUAUUUUUCUUUUGAUUGAAUUUUGUGACUAAAUUUGCACAAAUUUUUCAUCCUAAAUAGACACAUCUACCACCUUUUUUCAUCAUUUCAUCUUCUAUUCUAAUUUCAAGAUCUAUCAUGAAAAUGCUAAACAUGGUCCAUGCUUUCUUUACUAUCAAAUCUAUUACCUGGCUUUUUUGUAGGAUUACAAAUUAAUUUGCUGUCAUUCACUGUUAGUUUCAUCUGCAAACCUGGGAUUAUCUGACUAUUCUCUAUUCAUCUUCAUUCUUGUCUCUUCUUGUAAUGUCAGCAUUCUCAAGGAGUCAAAUAGCUGAGAUCUCAAGAUAUUAAUUGUUCAUGUUCCUAAAUAGUACCUAUUCCAUAGAUUAUUUUUGUAUAUACAUGUAAUAUUCUCCUUCCCUCUGUAUUCCCCUUUUUCCCUUCUUUUCCUCUCUCUCUCUCUCUCUCUCUCUCUCUCUCUCUCUCUCUCUCUCUCUCUCUCUCUCUCUCUCUCUCUCUCUCUCUCUCUCUCUCUCUCGCUAUAUCCACACCAUGAUGUACAGAUAGUUAAUUUAGCAAAGGAAAACAUUCCUUUUAUUCUAUUGCUCACCUUACCAUGUUCCUAUAUUUUCUCCAUAUCCCUUGUAACAUAUUACUCAUACACACAUAUUGUAAAUGAUGGUAUACCCCCCUCCCUAUGAAAUUAGUGAGUAGUGCAGUGAUGCAUCAUAUUUAACAAACUUCAGCAGUGGCUUCAACCCAAAUACUAGAGGCGAUUGUCUCAACUUAAUGGUGAAUACUCUGCAUCAUCUUUCACAAGUAGUGAAUGUAUAAUCUUUUCUCUCAUCUCUCUGAGACUUUUGUAUACACACAAAAGUGAAAUUACCCUUGAUUUAGAUAAAUCGAGUUAUUUUUCAUGUGUCACAUAUACAGCAGGGCUCAUGGGUCUCUCACUUUCCAUGAGACAGUGCCAGUAACAUCCCAACUUUCUGCCUGACAGGUUAGUGAUUGGCUCACUCCCCCAAAAAUUCCCUUUGCUUACAUAGCUCUUUUGUGCAAUUAUCACCUUAUUGAACAUAGUGUCAUUGUAAAGUACAUGAGUAACAUCCCUAUUUCCUGGUUGACAGGUUAAGUGAAUUAACACCACAUGUUCUCACAGUGACCACCAUCACAUUACACAUACAAUUAACCCCACCUCUUAUUGUUCUCUUGAAUAUUUCAGCAUUACUAAUUAGUAUAUGCCAGUGUGUCCAACAGGACCAUGAACAAGUGAUAUUUUUGUUAGUGUUCAUUAAACUGUAUGGAGAGGAGUGUAAUCAUAGGUAGGUAGGGGUAAGUAGAAGCAGACUCUUUGUUAAACAUCACAGUUACAAGAGAGAAAUGUAUUACUUUAUUGUGAAAAAUACUAGUCUUCUUUCCAUGUAGAAGAAGGUAUAUGUUUAUUUUUGUAUUAUCUUUGAUGGAUUCUUUGGCCAGUAAAUGUGAUUUAUCUUAGUUUUCUAUACAUUAUGUGUGGAGCUUAUCUACUAGCCUCCCUUGUGCUCAUGCAUAGACAAAUAAAUGCUACCAUUUAUUUUGGUUAUCAAA